AUGGAAGUGUUACUGCAUGGAGUUCUGCUGUUGAUCAUUUCAUAUUCUGUGGUGAAAAAGUCUGGAGAAUCAGUGACUCUGUCCUGCACUGUGUCUGGAUUCUCAAUGAGCAGCUAUUAUAUGUACUGGAUCCGUCAGAAACCAGGGAAAGCCCUGGAGUGGAUUGGAUAUAUAGACACUGGCUCAAGUGCAUAUUAUGCUCAGUCUCUACAGGGCCAGUUCUCCAUCACCAAAGACACCAGUAAAAACAUGCUGUAUUUAGAGGUGAAAAGCCUGAAGACUGAAGACACAGCUGUUUAUUACUGUGCACGAAGCUCACAGUUACACAAAAGACUGCAGGGCUGA